CUAGUAAUAAGAAGCAGUGGCUCAAUUUUUCUCCGUUGAUGAACUGGCAUUCCACACUCCGUUGUAUGCCACCUGUUGUCAACCUUGUGUGGUUAUUCUCGUGCUGGUAGUGAAGAAGAUCCAAACACUAGGGAUUUCCCAAAACCCAGUGAGAUUGAUUCAAUUUGGCUUCGAUUCUAGAUUUAAAUUUGUUCCUUGCGUGAUUGUUCUUGCUUUGUUUUUUUUUUUUUAAAUUUGGCGUUGAAUCUGGUAUGGUUGUGUAAUCUCAUCCAGCUGCACUAUCAAAAGGGGGCAGAGUGCAAAUAGUAUUUCAACUCACAACAAAGUUCAUAUUUUUAUGGUGCCAGUGUUCUAUCAUGUCUGAGGAGAUAGGUUGUUGGUCUAUCUAUGAUGCUGUUUUAUCAUGAUAGUGUUCUUUCUGCUACUAAUUCAUAUUUAUUAAUGUUAAAUUAGGUUUGCCAUUGUAAAAGAAUUAGCAUAUUUUAUUGAUUCAUGCUUAUUGUUGCAGUUGUACGUUUUGAUUUGGUUAUGUAUGCAUUUUUUUAAGAUUAUGAAAUGAACUGAACAAUGUUAUGCUCUUGCAAAUCUAUUAUCUAAUUAUGUGUAUGUUUUUGGUUUAAUUGUACUAGAUGAGAUUGGCAAUGCAUAGAUUUAUGUUGGUUUGCCAAAUGUUGAUGCAAUACUUCAAUAUUGGUUUAUUGAUACUUGGAAAUGGAAUUGUGCUAUAGUUCAACUCGUGUGCUUUUGUACGGUAUUAUAUGACUCUUAUGUCUAAUAAGAAAAAAAUAGGUUAUAGUACGAGUUUGAGGAGAGAAAGAAUAUGCAUUAUAUCCCUUUGUUUGAUGACAAGGGCCCUGUUCUUUGUCGAUGUUGCCUAAUUGUUUACAUUAUGCUAUCAUUAUGGGGCUUAAGUAUCUAUAAGAGAAAACCUAUAUAGCAUUGCGUCUUUACCAUUGCUAUCUGUUCAUAUUGAUUUGUGUUUUUCCUAACAUCUGACUAGUUUGAUCCUGUAGCAUAUGUUUGUAAAGAGUAGUCAUUCUUUGUAGUCAUUGAUCAAAGCUUAUGACUUUAUUACCUAAUAGUUGUGGACUCUUCAUUGGCUACAAAUAAAAGGAUGGUUUUCUAGAUGUACAAUAUACGCAGUGCCAUUUCUUCUAGUUUCAUAUUUUGUAAAUGUUUUACUAUGCAGCAAUUUGACUGGUCAUGGUCAUGUUUUUAUUAAGAGCAUUAGGAAGGAUACUAUUAACUACUGCUAGGUUAGAAACUUCUGCCUCUUUUGCUGCAGCUGUCAAUGCUACCAGGGAAAGAUAUAACCCUAUUCAGGAGUUCUUUCAGGCAAAUGAUGACAAGCUUGUUGUUUAUGGUCGGAGCUGGAAGGCCUCUAAGCUGCAUCUCAAGUCUUAGGAUGACCUUCACAAAUUGUGGUUCGUGUUGUUGAAGGAAAAAAACAUGUUGAUGAUUCAACAUCGGAUGCUUCAUGCACAAAAUCUAUGCUUUCCUAACACAGAGCGCACCCUUAAGUCAGUACGUUAUGUCAAGUAAGAGAGCAAUUGAUGAGGCAGAGCCUAAGAGGAAUUCAAUUUGAUGACUUGCAAGCUCUCCUGUGCCGGUGAAUGUGCUCACAAACAUUUCCUUUGUUCGCUCAUGAAAGAGAAAGGAAACGAAGGGAAUAUGAGAAGAGAAGGGCAUGUGCGUGGUUUUAAAAAAAGUGUGGGUCCCACUCCCUUUU